AGGGUGUAAACGCUGCAGACUUGGUGCUGGGAACCCUUCGGGGGUGCUCAGUGCCGGAGAGAAGUUGUUAAGUCUGCUACUUGGGGAGUACGUCCGCAAGGAUGAAACUUAAAGGAAUUGGCGGGGGAGCACCGCAACGGGAGGAGCGUGCGGUUUAAUUGGAUUCAACGCCGAAAAACUCACCAGCAGCGACUGUUACAUGAAAGUCAGGUUGAUGACCUUACUAGAUUUUCAGAGAGGUGGUGCAUGGCGUCAGUGACU
rnacentral:rRNA from 1 species